rnacentral:rRNA from 1 species
GACGAACGCUGGCGGCGUGCUUAACACAUGCAAGUCGAACGGAAAGGCCCUGCUUUUGUGGGGUGCUCGAGUGGCGAACGGGUGAGUAACACGUGAGUAACCUGCCCUUGACUUUGGGAUAACUUCAGGAAACUGGGGCUAAUACCGGAUAGAAGCUCCUGCUGCAUGGUGGGGGUUGGAAAGUUUCGGCGGUUGGGGAUGGACUCGCGGCUUAUCAGCUUGUUGGUGGGGUAGUGGCUUACCAAGGCUUUGACGGGUAGCCGGCCUGAGAGGGUGACCGGCCACAUUGGGACUGAGAUACGGCCCAGACUCCUACGGGAGGCAGCAGUGGGGAAUAUUGCACAAUGGGCGGAAGCCUGAUGCAGCAACGCCGCGUGCGGGAUGACGGCCUUCGGGUUGUAAACCGCUUUCGCCUGUGACGAAGCGUGAGUGACGGUAAUGGGGAAAGAAGCACCGGCUAACUACGU